rnacentral:rRNA from 1 species
GAUCCGUGCCGCAGCUAACGCAUUAAGUUCCCCGCCUGGGGGAGUACGGCGCGGCCUAUCAGCUUGUUGGUGGGGUGAUGGCCUACCAAGGCGACGACGGGUAGCCGGCCUGAGAGGGUGACCGGCCACACUGGGACUGAGAUACGGCCCAGACUCCUACGGGAGGCAGCAGUGGGGAAUAUUGCACAAUGGGCGCAAGCCUGAUGCAGCGACGCCGCGUGAGGGACGACGGCCUUCGGGUUGUAAACCUCUUUCAGCACAGACGAAGCGCGAGUGACGGUAUGUGCAGAAGAAGGACCGGCCAACUACGUGCCAGCAGCCGCGGUAAUACGUAGGGUCCGAGCGUUGUCCGGAAUUACUGGGCGUAAAGAGCUCGUAGGUGGUUUGUCGCGUUGUUCGUGAAAACUCACAGCUCAACUGUGGGCGUGCGGGCGAUACGGGCAGACUGGAGUACUGCAGGGGAGACUGGAAUUCCUGGUGUAGCGGUGGAAUGCGCAGAUAUCAGGAGGAACACCGGUGGCGAAGGCGGGUCUCUGGGCAGUAACUGACGCUGAGGAGCGAAAGCGUGGGGAGCGAACAGGAUUAGAUACCCUGGUAGUCCACGCCGUAAACGGUGGGUACUAGGUGUGGGUUUCCUUCCUUGGGAUCCGUGCCGUAGCUAACGCAUUAAGUACCCCG